UACGUAGGGGGCAAGCGUUGUCCGGAUUUAUUGGGCGUAAAGAGCGUGUAGGCGGCCAGAUAGGUCAGCUGUGAAAACUCGAGGCUCAACCUCGAGACGUCGGUUGAAACCAUCUGGCUAGAGUCCGGAAGAGGAGAGUGGAAUUCCCGGUGUAGCGGUGAAAUGCGCAGAUAUCGGGAAGAACACCCGUGGCGAAGGCGGCUCUCUGGGCCUUACCUGACGCUGAGGAGCGAAAGCGUGGGUAGCGAACAGA
rnacentral:rRNA from 1 species